rnacentral:rRNA from 1 species
CUACGGGCUGCUCCAGUGGGGAAUAUUGGACAAUGGGGGCAACCCUGAUCCAGCCAUGCCGCGUGAGUGAAGAAGGCCUUAGGGUUGUAAAGCUCUUUCAGAUGUGACGAUGAUGACGGUAACAUCAGAAGAAGCCCCGGCUAACUUCGUGCCAGCAGCCGCGGUAAUACGAAGGGGGCUAGCGUUGUUCGGAAUUACUGGGCGUAAAGCGCGCGUAGGCGGCUUGAUCAGUCAGAGGUGAAAUCCCGGGGCUCAACCCCGGAACUGCCUUUGAUACUGUCAAGCUAGAGCUCGGAAGAGGGUGGCGGAAUACCCAGUGUAGAGGUGAAAUUCGUAGAUAUUGGGUAGAACACCAGUGGCGAAGGCGGCCACCUGGUCCGUAGCUGACGCUGAGGUGCGAAAGCGUGGGAGCAAACAGGAUUAGAUACCCCCGUAGUC